CUUCCCCAUGAUGCCUUCCACUCCCUCUGGGGCCUGGGUGCGCCCAGGGGCUGCCUUCUGGGCCUUGAGCUGUCCUUCAGCUGGUGGCAGAGCUGGCAGUCUCAGAGGGAGGGUACCAGGUGGGAGGGCAUGGAGGUGGCUGAAGGCCAGGCUUUGGCGGGAUCAGGUUAGGGCAGGUUCAGUUUCCUGGAAAUGCCAAGUUCAGGGCCAGUGGGGCUGGCAUAUAAAUCCCCACUCUGGGCACCUGGCCCUGUACUUUCCUUCCCGAGUCUCCCUGCCGUCUCUUCUGAUCAGCUUGGGGCCUCUCUGCAUCUCUCCUACUCGGGCAGAACUUCUACGAAGGAUCAGUUUGAAGUGCCUGCAGAUCCAAGAUGUCUGGUUCCCUGGAGUAGGCACUGGCUGUGACCGUCACUACCUCCCACAAGUACUGCGGCUGAGAGGGGGACAAGUUCAGGCUAAGAAGAAGGAGCUGAAGGAACUUCUGAAAAAGAACUGUCCAGUUUUGUAGGGGAGAAGGCGGAUGAGGAGAGCCUGAAGUGGCUCAUGGAAGGCCUGGAUGAUGACAGUGACCAGGAGGUGGCUUCUGGGAGUAUGUAUUUUUCUGGCCCCGAUCACUGUUACGUGCAAUGACUUCUUCCAGGGCUCCCUGGACCGGCCCUGCAGCAGCUCUCGGCUCCCUGCCAUGGGUCUCUUGGGCCCAGGAGGACUUCCUAUUUUUAGUUUUGUGCUCAACAAACUUUUUUGUUUGUUGAUAAAAUUUUAAUAAUCCAGUGAUGCCCUGUAACCUGGCUGGCUUAGGUGGAGUGCUGAAAACUGAAGGCCUCCUAGAUCUGACCCCCUUCUGGGCCCUGACUCUCCUUCUAGAAUCCUCCCCAAGGCUCGAGGUCCCAUACUUUGGGGUUUCAAAUACCAGUGAAAAUUUGGAAAUUGAGAUAGUUUGCUAAGUUUCCUUCUUUUUUUUUUUCCAAAUAAAGAUAUUAAA